AUUGAACGCUGGCGGCAGGCUUAACACAUGCAAGUCGAACGAUGAAGUCUAGCUUGCUAGACGGAUUAGUGGCGAACGGGUGAGUAAUGCUUAGGAAUCUGCCUAUUAGUGGGGGAUAACGUAGGGAAACUUACGCUAAUACCGCAUACGACCUACGGGUGAAAGGGGCGUUUAGUCUCUCGCUAAUAGAUGAGCCUAAGUCGGAUUAGCUAGUUGGUGGGGUAAAGGCCUACCAAGGCGACGAUCUGUAGCUGGUCUGAGAGGAUGAUCAGCCACACUGGGACUGAGACACGGCCCAGACUCCUACGGGAGGGCAGCAGUGGGGAAGUAAUUGGACAAUGGGCGGAAAGACCUGAUCCAGCCAUGCCGCGUGUGUGAAGAAGGCC
rnacentral:rRNA from 1 species